rnacentral:lncRNA from 1 species
CACUUGACUAAGAAAAAAAAAAAACACACAACACAACAGAGUUGAAAAGUAUUUGAGAGAGGAAGUCCUAUAGAUAUGUUUGACCUGUCAUUGCACUGCUGCCCAGGUAUCUGCUGUGUCUGGUGGUGGAGGCAGGGCCCAAGGUGAGACAGACUUUUGCUGUGGCCCAGUAUGGCCAUUCUUAUGAUCAUCUGACUUUCUUGUAGAAAGUUUUGUGCUGUCUCACAAGGAAAGAGAAAUACAUCAUGACCCUGAAUAGCAUGUUUAGACGCUGAUUGAAGCCCUGGGCCUGAAGUCCUCAGCAGUGGCUGAAGACACAACCUCAUGUGGGAAGGUUGAAGCUGGGUGCAGGUUAUUUUGUUCUGUGUGGCAUUGCCCUGCUAACCUCUGAUCAUUGUGUCCUGGCUCUAAGCAGAGUUCAGAUCAAGGCAAAUAAACUUGAACAUUAUCUGAUGCUGGAUUAUGUAGCCCUGCAGCCAUUCAGCUGCAACCUCUACAGUAACCUUCGCGUACACCCUGUAUCCUUUCUGUUUAUGUUCAUCUUUUUCCUAGCACCUCUUUAAAUUACACACCUGCAGAGGCACUGAUCACUGCAGUGUAGCCAUAAAGGAAAGACAUUGCUUCUUUGCCCUCCUAAAUACCUUGAAACACUAUUGAUUAAUUUUUCACCUGAAAUAGUCCACCCUGAAUGGA